GCUCAGAUGAACGCUAGCGGCAGGCCUAACACAUGCAAGUCGAGGGGCAGCAUAUCGCUUCGGUGAUGAUGGCGACCGGCGCACGGGUGAGUAUCGCGUUUGUAACCUACCCUUAACUGGGGGAUAGCCCGGAGAAAUCCGGAUUAAUACCCCAUAAUAUUUAAGCACGGCAUCGUGCUUUCAUUAAAGCUCCGGCGGUUAAGGAUGGGCAUGCGUGACAUUAGUUUGUUGGUGAGGUAACGGCUCACCAAGACUACGAUGUCUAUGGGGUCUGAGAGGAUGAUCCCACACACUGGUACUGAGACACGGACCAGACUCCUACGGGAGGCAGCAGUGAGGAAUAUUGGUCAAUGGACGCAAGUCUGAACCAGCCAUGCCGCGUGCAGGAUGACGGCUCUAUGAGUUGUAAACUGCUUUUAUACAGGAAGAAAUCCUUCUACGUGUAGAGGGUUGACGGUACUGUAAGAAUAAGCAUCGGCUAACUCCGUGCCAGCAGCCGCGGUAAUACGGAGGAUGCAAGCGUUAUCCGGAUUCAUUGGGUUUAAAGGGUGCGUAGGCGGGGCAAUCAGUCAGUGGUGAAAUCCUGCGGCUUAACCGUAGAACUGCCAUUGAUACUGUUGUCCUUGAGUAUAGUUGAAGUGGGCGGAAUAUGUAAUGUAGCGGUGAAAUGCAUAGAUAUUACAUAGAACACCAAUUGCGAAGG
rnacentral:rRNA from 1 species